GCCUGCUGGGCCAGCUGGUAGGAGUCAUGGGGAGAGCCCAGCUCUUGCUCAGCUUGGAGCUGCCAGAUGACAUCUUGAGCUCCACGAGGAGGCAGCGAGCCAGUGGGACAGGAAGGGAUGAACCGAGGCUCCAGACUGCCAGCAACGUGUCUCUGCCUGGGGGCUGGCUGAGCUGGGGCCACGAGGACCCGUCUGGAGGGCGCAGACGGCGGCACAGAAAUAAAACACAGAGAGCAGGGGAAGGAAGGGAGCAGGAAGGGUGGCUGUGGGGGAAGUUAUUAUAAAUCAGGAAGGGCUCUUACGGGUAAAAGAUCUGGGGACAAGCUCUCCCCACAGGGAACAGCAGACCCAGAGACCCUUUGGCAGAAAUGAGUGCAUCGUGUUCUAGAAGGCAGAAGAAGCACCUCGUGCUUCUUGGUCAUUCCCUGGACAUCACAGCACAGGCGUCACUAGUGUCCAUAGGACCCAGAGCAUGGCUCCUGCCACUCCCUCUCUGGAAACAGAUUAGAGAACAGAGAGGCUGAGGACUGGCCCCGAAGCGGUGGGAGGGGAAGCUGGGGGCUGCGGCGGCUGUCCGGCUGGGAGAGGAGGGGCGGGCCUCUCGGCCACCCUUUUCUCCAUCUUUUGGCCCACCUUCCUUCAGACAUCCCGCAGGACCCCGGGCUACCCACAGUCUUCAGGUGAGCACGACUCCCCGAGCCACAGGAGGGCAACGCUUAACCCCAGUGUGUCCAGGGACAGGACCCCAGCAGAGGAGAGGCUCUGGGCCAGGGCCCAGCCGAAGGGACCAGGGCUGCUCAUCUUUCCAAGGCAGCCUCCUCAGCAAGGCCCCUGGAGGCGCUCACAUCCUGACCUCUCACAAAAGGACCACACAUCUCCUUCCAGCUGUGGUUCCAGAGUAGCCUAGGGGACAGCUGAGCCGCGGGCCUGGGCCGUGUGCCCAGCAGGGACCCGUCAACUGCUGCAGGGGUGGGCCUGGAGUGACAGAGGAGCAAAUCCCCGAAAAGAGCAUGCGUGUGUGCCAGGCGGGCACUGUUUCCAGAAGGAAGGCAGGGGCGACAGGUGAAGCUCAGAGGGAAGGGCCUAGAGGAGGAGGUGGCGUUU
rnacentral:lncRNA from 1 species